CACCCUUGUCUUUUGCGUACUUCUUGUUUCCUUGGUGGGUUCGCCCACCACUAGGACAAACAUAAACCUUUUGUAAUUGCAAUCAGCGUCAGUAACAAAUUAAUAAUUACAACUUUCAACAACGGAUCUCUUGGUUCUGGCAUCGAUGAAGAACGCAGCGAAAUGCGAUAAGUAGUGUGAAUUGCAGAAUUCAGUGAAUCAUCGAAUCUUUGAACGCACAUUGCGCCCUUUGGUAUUCCAAAGGGCAUGCCUGUUCGAGCGUCAUUUGUACCCUCAAGCUUUGCUUGGUGUUGGGCGUCUUGUCUCUAGCUUUGCUGGAGACUCGCCUUAAAGUAAUUGGCAGCCGGCCUACUGGUUUCGGAGCGCAGCACAAGUCGCACUCUCUAUCAGCAAAGGUCUAGCAUCCAUUAAGCCUUUUUUUCAACUUUUGACCU
rnacentral:rRNA from 9 species